GGGGGCGUUACGGAUUCGACAGGCAUUGUCGCGCAUGAACUGCAACUGCUGAGGGAUCAGGAUAAUCAUCCGCAGAUAAAUAUAACUGCUAAAAAUAAUACACAAACUUACGCAAUGGCAGCCUAAACAGCACCAUGCGUGCCUGAUUUUUGCUCACUGAUGGCAAUUUGACGGCCUAAACUUUUAGUCAGAUACGUUGUUGUGGAGGCUUGACGCAGCAAAAGAGAUUUAAAGCCCCGCAAAAUGUCG
rnacentral:tmRNA from 1 species